UGGGGAAUAUUGGGCAAUGGGGGAAACCCUGACCCAGCGACGCCGCGUGAGGGAAGAAGGUCUUCGGAUUGUAAACCUCUGUCCCAUGGGAAGAAACAAAUGACGGUACCAUGGGAGGAAGCCCCGGCUAACUACGUGCCAGCAGCCGCGGUAAUACGUAGGGGGCGAGCGUUGUCCGGAAUGACUGGGCGUAAAGGGCGCGUAGGCGGCUCGAUAAGUUGGAUGUGAAAUACCCGUGCUCAACAUGGGGGUUGCAUUUAAGACUGUCGAGCUGGAGUGCAGGAGAGGAAAGCGGAAUUCCCAGUGUAGCGGUGAAAUGCGUAGAGAUUGGGAGGAACACCAGUGGCGAAGGCGGCUUUCUGGACUGUAACUGACGCUGAGGCGCGAAAGCGUGGGGAGCAAACAGG
rnacentral:rRNA from 1 species